rnacentral:lncRNA from 1 species
UUCCAAUUUUUUUUUUGUUUUUUUGUUUGGGGAGAUUUUACUAUUUCCUUCAAUACGGUCUCGGGAGGUGGGUAAUUGAGUUCCAGAUCAAAGAUGUGGUGCUUUGAUCACGAAAUUAGGUGUGGGUUCAGAACUCUUCGAUUUUAUUUGUGAAUUGUUUAAUUUGGUGUCGAAAGGCGGUGAGAUUUAGCAAAUUCGUGUGUGUUUCGAUAAUGGUGCAGUCAUAACGUUGUUUCGAU